GGAACUGGAUGAUGAUGUCUAGGCUACAAUUGAUUGUUUUUUGUGUUGUGUUGUUUGGUGUUUUAUCCGCACUCUCGUACUAAUUUAGUGGUGGCUUGCUUCUUGUCUUGUGUUCGUUUGGUGUUUUGAAACUGUUUUUUCUCUUCUUCAUCUCCUAUAUAUGUUUCCACUUGCAAACCUACUCUACGUUGUAUUUAUGGAAGAAGUAUGUGUUUCCUUGUUAUCAAUCUUACGGUUUUUUUUCCUACAACAAUGGUAUAAAAUUUACGCUUACAUACAUUACGUUUACCCAUGUACAAGUACAACCAUAAUCAAUAUUACGUUUUCUCUGGCUUAUUAAUAUAAAUCUAGCUAUCAAAUUUUCUCUGUGUUUUCCUCAAUUGUAUUUUAAAGAUUCUAUAAAUUGAGAGAACAAAUGUGAAAGAAGAUGACAAGGACCUUGCAGCUCUGCUCAACCGUCAUAAGAGCAACAUUAUUGGUAGGAUUAAUUUUUGAGUCCUUAGGUUAAUUUAUUAUUAUUUGUAUGGUAAGAAACAAAGCUAAGACACAAUCCCAAAAGUGUAGAUUAUUGGUAGGAUUUUUUUGUUGUUGUUUAGUAAAUUAAUUGUUUAUUUUUAAUAAGUAAUGACGUAUAAAAGAUAAGUUUAAAAUAAAACAUAUAACAUUAAAAUUGAAAACAUAAGGAAAUAACAAAGUUGCCAAAAAAAAAUAAAAAUUAACAAACAUCAUAAAUUAAAGCAAACAAAUAUUUUAUUCAAUUCAUAGAAACAUAUAAAUUAUAUGUUAUUUGGAAGAUGUCCAAAUUUAGCCUAUAUAUUUUCAAUCAAAUCAUUUUUUAGUUGCUGAUGGGCUUGUCUAUUCCGAACUUUUGUUCGACGAUCAAUUGUAUUCCCGAGAUUUGUAGCCAUAUUGACGGAAUAUUUAAGAUCCACAUCUUCUCCUUGUUGAAAUUCGAAAACAUCAUGCUGAGUGAAUGAAUCUCGUUGAUUAAAGAAUUAAAGAGUUAAAGAGUUAAACUACAACAGACGAAAUAUGUGAGACGGCAAUCAUAACAUCAGCGAAUCUAACAAACUACAAGUUACCAUGCUAUCUAACAAUAACAACUACUCGACCUCAAUUCGAUUUACUCAAACACAAACCAUACAAUCAGAAACGACAUUCAUAUCAUCACAACAAAUAAGAGAGAAAAAAAAAAUAUGUAUUUCGUGACCAUGUAUCUAUCAAGAUUUCUUUUAAUAAUAUUUAAGAUGACAGGAGAUGGAAUUGAAAUUACAGACAGUAUGUUUAAUAUUCUUUUAGUUAUAAAUGUGGUUUUGCUUUUUUGUUUUUUAAAAAAAAAAUCCCUCCCGUUAGUUUAGAUUCUUAGAUAUAAAAACUCGGAAAAUACAAAGUUAUAACGUACGUAUAAGAAACAACAAAAAAUUAUAACGGACCCAUCAUUUUACAUAGGCCCGACGGUCCAACAACUUAAUGUAGAUAAAUAGCACUUUCGCUCAAAAAGACGUAAAUAAGCUUACCUCUCACUCUCCAAUUGGUAAUAAAUUCGGAUCCCUAAAAAUUCUGGAAACUACGAUUCUCCGAUUCUGAAGAUGAUGCGUCUCCGGGUUGCUGCGGAUGCUGCUAAGGUACUCUGUUAGAUUAUAUUUAGCUCUGGGUUUAUUAUUAUUGUCUCUGUCUGAUAUUGAGAGAAAAAAUAAAAAAAAAAUGCAGCAGAGUCGGCGAGUGUUUUCUCCCCGUGCUUCUGAGUCUGCUUCAUCUCCGGAACCUUCUCCCGUUCAGUGGUUUAAGUCCAUCAAGGCUGCUGCUUCCCACUGCAUCCUUCAAGGUCUCGUGAAGAGUUGCAACGCUAGCCCUUUGUGCGCCAAGAGCAUCUGCUGCUUCGCGACCAGAUCCGAGAAGUGGAAGAGGCGCGUCAACCUAUUGCACUAUACCGCAACUCCGUUGACCUCCAAAGUGUUCGUGUGGAAUAACAAGGCUUCUUUGAUCCGAGCUUGUGAGAAUGUACUUUGUUUACGGCUGUUGUUGGGCUCUCGGGAUUUGCUAUCACCCACUGGGUACGUCACUACGACCUGAAAGGUGCAGACAAGAGGUUCGCUGCUAUCGAGCGUCGCCAACGUGCUCUUAAGGCUUAUCAGGCAUACAUGGUUACUCGGUUUAAUAGGGAGUUAAACAUUGUGAAUCAGCAGAUGGGGAAGAUUCAGUAUGAGUUCUGCGAGAUGGAGAAGAUUCUUCAACAACUCGAGAAGAAUAACAAGAAGUAGGAAUCUUGACCAUCCUCUGACUUUUGUUUGUGUAAUAAUGAUUUGACAUGUGUUGUUUAUGCUUACUAUGAGAUCUACUACUCGAGGAAGGUCGUUUUUAAGUGAUAUUUUUGGCAAAAAUGAUUAUAAUAACCCAUUCCAUUACAUAAAAUAUAUAAAUAACACACAUCAAUCAUGGUUUUUGUUUACAUCACAAAACUAGAAGAACUAGGUGUUUAAAUUUUUUAUAACUAUUUACUAAUAGGCCAUCAAUCAUUCAUUACUAGUUAAAAGUAGCUUGUUUUGAAAAAAAACUCCCAGAGAAGUAUUUUAUGCUUUGUGUAUUAUAAUACUUUGAUUUGGGCCAUUUGUGUAUAAUGAAUCGGGUUUGGAUUUAGAAUCUUAGUUGGACACAAUCAGAUUUAAAGGUGAAAUUAGCAACAAGACAUAAAAAAAUCAUUUAGACAUUAGGUAAUGAUUUCAUUAACAAAUUUAAAAAAAUAAAAAAAUUAACGUAAAUUAACAUGAUCACUUCGUAAUCGUGGGAGGGUUUAAAAUACAUAGAAGAUACAGUAUGAUCUAUCACAAAAAAAUGGGCCACAUUUGUCCAAUGGGCCGGAUUUGGACUGAAAAUACGGCCCAGGGUAAAAAUAAAUAAUUCUAACCAAGGAAAGCCGAAGCCCUAAUCUUACGACACCCGAAGCAAAGGAAGGAAGGAUUCAGCGGAACAAAAGAAGAUGAUGAUGAUGAUGAAGCAGCAGGCGCAGACGAUUUUGGCCAAGGUUAAGCUAAGAAUCAUUAUUUUAUUCCGGAUCCUCCCUCUCGAUUUGUCAAUUGGUGAUCGUAGUAUUGUCUGUGUUCUGCAGUAUGGUCGGAGAGGGAUUUCAUCCGUCGCCGCUUCCCCCAUGUCCUCGAGGGUCAAGCAUGUUUGGGAGAAUCAGAACAAAUUAGUUCUUGGUUUAGCGUUCUUUGGUGGAUGGUUCGCCAAAGCCUCCAUAAGUAUGGUUCUUUGAAUUCAUGUUAUAGAUGUUUCCAACAUUAAUUCUCUAGAAUGUAACUAUUUCUCGUUCCUGUUUCCAAUGAAUGGAUGUUUCAGAUGUUUUCAAGAGAAGAGAGGAUUGGUACAGAGUACACAGAUUUUUUGAUGAGGAGGAGAAGCGUCUUGAAGAGAAAUGUGCCCGUUUUCAAAAGGUAAGUCAAGUUUGAUACCUUUUAUUAAAUAAAUCACAUGUUCAAACCAUUUGUUUUAUUUCAUGAAUGGCAGGAACUGGAUGAUGAUGUCUAGGCUACAAUUGAUUGUUUUUUUUGUUGUGUUGUUUGGUGUUUUAUCCGCACUCUCGUACUAAUUUAGUGGUGGCUUGCUUCUUGUCUUGUGUUCGUUUGGUGUUUUGAAACUGUUUUUUCUCUUCUUCAUCUCCUAUAUAUGUUUCCACUUGCAAACCUACUCUACGUUGUAUUUAUGGAAGAAGUAUGUGUUUCCUUGUUAUCAAUCUUACGGUUUUUUUUCCUACAACAAUGGUAUAAAAUUUACGCUUACAUACAUUACGUUUACCCAUGUACAAGUACAACCAUAAUCAAUAUUACGUUUUCUCUGGCUUAUUAAUAUAAAUCUAGCUAUCAAAUUUUCUCUGUGUUUUCCUCAAUUGUAUUUUAAAGAUUCUAUAAAUUGAGAGAACAAAUGUGAAAGAAGAUGACAAGGACCUUGCAGCUCUGCUCAACCGUCAUAAGAGCAACAUUAUUGGUAGG
rnacentral:lncRNA from 1 species